CGGGAGUAAUGGCUUGGGAAUCUAGCUUAUGGAGGGGGAUAACUACGGGAAACUGUAGCUAAUACCGCGUAGUAUCGAGAGAUGAAAGUGUGGGACCUUCGGGCCACAUGCCAUAGGAUGAGCCCAAGUGGGAUUAGGUAGUUGGUGAGGUAAAGGCUCACCAAGCCGACGAUCUCUAGCUGGUCUGAGAGGAUGACCAGCCACACUGGGACUGAGACACGGCCCAG
rnacentral:rRNA from 1 species